GACGAACGCUGGCGGCGUGCUUAACACAUGCAAGUCGAACGGAAAGGCCCUGCUUUUGUGGGGUGCUCGAGUGGCGAACGGGUGAGUAACACGUGAGUAACCUGCCCUUGACUUUGGGAUAACUUCAGGAAACUGGGGCUAAUACCGGAUAGGAGCUCCUGCUGCAUGGUGGGGGUUGGAAAGUUUCGGCGGUUGGGGAUGGACUCGCGGCUUAUCAGCUUGUUGGUGGGGUAGUGGCUUACCAAGGCUUUGACGGGUAGCCGGCCUGAGAGGGUGACCGGCCACAUUGGGACUGAGAUACGGCCCAGACUCCUACGGGAGGCAGCAGUGGGGAAUAUUGCACAAUGGGCGGAAGCCUGAUGCAGCAACGCCGCGUGCGGGAUGACGGCCUUCGGGUUGUAACCCGCUUUCGCCUGUGACGAGGCGUGAGUGACGGUAAUGGGUAAAGAAGCACCGGCUAACUACGUG
rnacentral:rRNA from 1 species